rnacentral:rRNA from 1 species
UACAGAGUGUGCGAGCGUUAAUCGGAAUUACUGGGCGUAAAGCGCGCGUAGGCGGCUUUGCAAGUCGGGUGUGAAAUCCCCAGGCUUAACCUGGGAACUGCAUUCGAGACUGCAUUGCUAGAGUAUGGGAGAGGGAAGUGGAAUUUCCGGUGUAGCGGUGAAAUGCGUAGAUAUCGGAAGGAACAUCAGUGGCGAAAGCGACUUCCUGGACCAAUACUGACGCUCAUGUGCGAAAGCGUGGGGAGCAAACAGG